AUUGAACGCUGGCGGCAUGCUUUACACAUGCAAGUCGAACGGUAACAGGUUAAGCUGACGAGUGGCGAACGGGUGAGUAAUGCAUCGGAACGUGCCCGGUCGUGGGGGAUAACGCAGCGAAAGCUGCGCUAAUACCGCAUACGAUCUGAGGAUGGAAGCGGGGGACCGUAAGGCCUCGCGCGAUCGGAGCGGCCGAUGUCAGAUUAGGUAGUUGGUGGGGUAAAGGCUCACCAAGCCGACGAUCUGUAGCUGGUCUGAGAGGACGACCAGCCACACUGGGACUGAGACACGGCCCAGACUCCUACGGGAGGCAGCAGUGGGGAAUUUUGGACAAUGGGCGCAAGCCUGAUCCAGCAAUGCCGCGUGCAGGAAGAAGGCCUUCGGGUUGUAAACUGCUUUUGUACGGAGCGAAAAGGCUCUCUCUAAUACAGGGGGCUCAUGACGGUACCGUAAGAAUAAGCACCGGCUAACUACGUGCCAGCAGCCGCCGUAA
rnacentral:rRNA from 1 species